GAUUCGUCACACUAUCAUUAACUGAAUCCAUAGGUUAAUGAGGCGAACCGGGGGAACUGAAACAUCUAAGUACCCCGAGGAAAAGAAAUCAACCGAGAUUCCCCCAGUAGCGGCGAGCGAACGGGGAGGAGCCCAGAGCCUGAAUCAGCAUGUGUGUUAGUGGAAGCGUCUGGAAAGGCGCGCGAUACAGGGUGACAGCCCCGUACACAAAAGCGCAUGUGCUGUGAGCUCGAUGAGUAGGGCGGGACACGUGGUAUCCUGUCUGAAUAUGGGGGGACCAUCCUCCAAGGCUAAAUACUCCUGACUGACCGAUAGUGAACCAGUACCGUGAGGGAAAGGCGAAAAGAACCCCGGCGAGGGGAGUGAAAAAGAACCUGAAACCGUGUACGUACAAGCAGUGGGAGCCCCACCACUAAGCCAGUGGUGAACUCCACAUCCGCAUCCUUUGCUGAG
rnacentral:rRNA from 1 species